rnacentral:rRNA from 1 species
UACGUAGGGUGCAAGCGUUAAUCGGAAUUACUGGGCGUAAAGCGUGCGCAGGCGGUCGUUCAAGUCGCGUGUGAAAGCCCCCGGCUCAACUGGGGAGGGGCACGCGAUACUGAUCGACUCGAAGGCAGGAGAGGGUAGUGGAAUUCCCGGUGUAGUGGUGAAAUGCGUAGAUAUCGGGAGGAACACCAGUGGCGAAGGCGACUACCUGGCCUGUUCUUGACGCUGAGGCGCGAAAGCUAGGGGAGCAAACGGG